AGAAAAAAAAAAACGCAGAUAUAGAGAGAGAAGCAAAGAGUUCCAAUACUCCAAAAAAAUAAAAUGCAGAUACAGAGAGAGAAGGAGAGAGUUCCCUCGCCAGACUCAAAGCACCACUGCAAGCAGAAAGAAAAAUCUAUGGGCAUCACCGCAUCAACACCGUUAGGCUAUAUAUCUGCCACUAUAAGAUUGUCGGAACCGGCUCCGGUCUGGAGAGGGCAAAGACAGAGAAACGAGAGAGAUCGUGAAUAGGUGCGCAAAUAGAGUUGGAAUUUGUCAUGUAAUUACAGCUAUAAUUAUUGUUUCUUUGUGUAUUAUUGUUAUUUCCUUUUAUGCAUGUUUUGAUCUCAUGUUGGAUCGAUAAAGAGUUGCAAUUGUUAAUUAACCAUCUUCUAUUGCAUUUAUUUUUAAAUGAAUUUCCUUUUCGUUUGUUACUACCUGAUUAGAGAUUACUUAAAAAAAAAAAUCAAAGAACAGAGUCAAUAUUAGGCAAACUUCCCAAUAAUGAAUCCUCCUACCAUCAUCAUGUCAGAAUCGCUACCUGUAAGUUUCUCUCUUCAUUUUUUAGUUUGUUCAUUAAAUAUGAUCAUAAUUUGAUAUUUUAUUUGGAGUGGUUUCGAUUUAGGUCUUUUUCAUUUGUGCAUUAAAUAUGAUCAAGUUUUUUUAUAAUUGUUUGGAUUGGUUUCAGUUUAGGUCUUUGUGUCUCUAUCACCGAUGGCUGCCAUAUUUUUAAAGAAGAAAAGAAAAGAGCCUUCAGUUGAGAUAAUGAACCCGUUAAGAAUGUUACACUAUUUAAACAUAGAAGAAAAACAGAGAUUGAAAGAGAGAUAAAUCUCAGGGCAGCCACCAUCGUCAUGAAGCGGGAACUGUUACUGGUGAAAAGGCAAAUCCUUGGAAGCAAUCCAAGUUUGAGUAGGAACAGUACUACCAGGUAUAGUUUCCACUUUAUUUGAACAAUCACUGGUAAUUUUCUUUUUAAUUGAGUGUUAAAUAUGCUUUAUGUUUGGAUAUUUGGUUGGAUUGAUUGAUUUAGGUAUUUGGGUUAGAGAAAUUAUUUUUUGUUUAUUUGUUUUUGUAUUGGAUUUUAGGAUUGAAAUGGUUCGGGGCUGUUAUGUGAUUAAUUUUACAGUCUGCAUACUAUGCUACCAAGCAUAUCUAUGUUGCUAGAUACUGCUUAUGAGUUAUUCUUUUACACAUUUCUUAUAUGAGUUAUUCUGCUCUUUUUUCUAUUCAUAUAUAGGACUUCUUCUAGAUGUUUCUUUGCAUAUAUCUUAUUUGAAUUUUCUUCAACAAAAUAUACCCGAGGCCAUAACAUAAUUUUUUCCCUUCUUCAAAUAUUGUUUCUGCUCGUAGUUUAUGCAAUUCCCAGUUCAUUGUUUUCCCACAAUUGUUUUUCCUAUUCAAAUACUGUUACUUUGAUUGCAUAGUUAAUUGAUGGGGUUAUGCUCCUCCUUUGGAUGCUUUCCUUUGGCAUAUAUAACCUUUGGCUUUCUAUUUGUUUUCUAAUUUAUUUUGUGGUUUUUUUUAAUGUUUAAUUGAAAUGUCUUUCGUUAAUAUUUCCUUUACCUUUCUGCUUUCUCUAUUUCUUAUUGUGUUGAUUAUAGGGUUUAAUCAAGAUCAUUAAAAUUCCUUGAGAGAGAGAGAGAAAUCUAAGGAAAUUUACCAUUGUCAAACCAGUGUCACCCUGUUUUACAACUUAAAGCUACCAUCUUAACUUUCAAAAUAUUAUUGUUAAAGUUUUAAAUUUUAUUUCCAAAUUUGCUGCUAACAUAUGAUUAAGGCUUUGGUUUUGAAUUGGAUGCAAAAUAUAAUUAAGGCUUUGGUCAUUAAUUUCCUUUGAAGCACUAUUUGUGUGAUUUGUUUGGAGGAGAACAGGGAGUUGGUUAUUAAUUUGAGUAUGAGUGUGGGUUUAUUUAUGUAAAUCUGAAUGUAUAUGUCAAUUGCAAAUAUGACUGCAUUUUUUCUUUGAGAAAAUUAUUGUUGAUGAGAAAUGGUGAUUUUAAAGAGUUGGGAGUUUGGUCUUGCAAAAUCAAAGAACCAAAAAGAUACUGUUACAUGGUACUAUACUUAACCUCCAUGUCUCUCUCUCUCAAAUAUCUCUCUAUAAUUUCAUUCAAUUUAAAGUUUUGUUCAUCUUCUUAUGCAAAAACUAAUAAUAGGAGCCCUUCAUUCCAGGUUGAUAUGAAAGGUUUGGAUGGAAUACUAGGAGCUAGCUAUGUUGGGAUAGAAAUCAUUCUAUAAUUAUGAUGCUCCUAAAGCUAAGAAGCCAAUAACAAGAACAUCCAACUAUUUGCAAAGGUGGUGUUGUUGAUGUUGUAGAUAGAGGAAAAGGAAGGUUAUAAGAAGCCUAUAUAUGAGAUAAAGAAAGGGUGGAGAGAAGGAUUGAUUUGGUCUAUGGAGGUGGGAAAGUGGGAUUGAUGGGUCUUGUUUCUCAGGCAGUUCAUGAUGGUGGGCGCCAUGUUCUAGGGUUCAUGAUUGUAGUGUCAGUACACCGGGACUUAAAGUUAGAAAGAUUGAGAUAGAAAGGUGGAAGGAAGAGUACGGCCAAAUGUUUCCUAUAGUUGGGAGUGGUAGAUUUAUCACAGCGCCCGUAAUCACUGAAGAUGGUCAACCCAUUCAAGAUCCAUUAGUGCUUUUAUAAACAAACCCAGACAAGGGACAGGCUUUACCUCCUGAUGACAAUGGUGGGGUAAAUGUUAGAGGCAAUGGUUUGGAAACAGUGAAGGAUAAGAAAGCAAUCCAGUGGAUGCUGACUCUGCAUCAAAUAGGAAGAAGAUUCCUUGCAGGUUGCUUUAACAGGAGUUAUAGUUUUCACAUCCACUCCAGACAAAGAAUCAAACAAGUACUAUCUUGGACCUGCACCAUUGGAGGAAAUGGCCAGGUUGGCACUUGGCACACGAUAUACGCAUGAUCAUUUGAAUGUACAUUCUAUUCUUUAGAGGUCAGGAUAUACAAUUUUUUUUUUUUUUUUUUUUUUUUUGAGAAGGAGGUCAGGAUAUACAUGAUCUUAGAACUGGUCAACUAUUUUAACAUUUUGAAAUUGAAUUUUUUUUCAAAAUAACAAUAAAUAUUAAAAAAUUUAGUUAAUUGUCAAGUUUCAAAACAAUGUCGAAAACUAACAUCUCGAGUGUCUAAAACUCGAGUUCCGAGAUAAAAAUCGAGUUUUUAAGUCUAGAUUUGUAUGUGGAUUACGCUAAAGUGGGUAAAAAUCAAGCUGAAAAUUGAGUUUUAAAGACUCGAUUUCCACAAAUUGAAUAAAAACGCUGCUAUAGGUCUAUAAAACGUCACUAUAGGGCUUAAAAACUCCACUAUAGGACUCCUAAACCUAUACUUACAAAAAAAAUUUUGCAGGAAAACGCCGCUAUAGGGCUUUAAAACGUCACUGUAAGACUUAAAAACGCCACUAUAGGUGAAAUUUUUUUUGCAUGAAACUCGAGUUUUAAAGACUCGAGAUCUACGUGGCAUUUUCACACUCGCAAGGCGAGUCUUUUGAACUCGAGUUCUAAUAGGAUCUCGAGUUUCUAAAACUUGAGAUGCUAUUUUCCUUUAUUGUUUCAAACGUUGUCUAACUAACUAUAUACAAUCCUUUUGCACUACUAUUUUGCACAUUACCUCUUUUGAAAUUGCAUUAGUAUUACUAGCUAGUUUCCAAAAGAACCACGUAAUAUAAUCACAGAGCCUAAUGGUCAAUGGAAACUAGCUUAUUUGGUGUCAUUUACUUUAGGCCCAGUUCCCAUCAAAUCUCUCCUAAGGCCCAGGAACUUAAUAGCAUUUUAUGCACAUUGGGCUGUUCCUGGUCUGAUAACUUUAGGCCUAUAUCUCAAAUGGGGCCAAACUUGGGUUUGACCACCUCCAUAGCUCAUUGAAGAUGGACUAUUACCCAACUUUUAAUGAAUAAAACUAAUCACUGGGCUUAUUAAUUCAAACAAAUUCAAAUGAUUGUUCAUCCAUAUUGUUAAUAAAUUUAUUUCAACAAUUUUGAUCUACGAGUUAGUCUCAAUGAUAUAUACAAAAAUGGAAGAAACCUAUUUCCUGCGUUUUACUAAACUCAUUUUUUGUCCCUAGGAAAAAAAAUUAAAUUUACAAAAAAUCCAACUUAAUAUUUUACCUUUCUUUCUUUUUCAUUGGAUUUAUUUUUUAAUUACAAAAAUCCAACUACUGGUCCUCCACAUGUAAAAUGUUUUUUAAGACUCUAGGGAAAAAAAAAUCGGAUGGUGACAUUGGAAUAUAUACAUUAAUUUUGAUGUGGUGACUUGGGAAUAUUUAGGGAAAUAGAAUUAUUUUUAUAUUUCAUUCAAUCUAGCUUAUCUUCUAGUUAAUUAAUUAAAUAUUCAUCAUGGACCAUCCAAUAUCCAUUAGUUUUACAAUGCCAUUGCCUUAGGCCCUCAUGUCCUUCUUAUGUAAAAGUGUAAACCCUAGGGGAAUGAAUUUAUAUUUUAAUUUGUAGCGCCCAGAUAAGCCUACUAUUCAUAAAAAAUAGAUUAUUUGCCUUAAAUAAUAUUAACACUUGAGGGUUACUACUAAUUUAAACUUAGUAGUCCUCUUUUAAACUAUCCAUUUCGUAAAUCUUAAAUUGUCAUGGGUUUGAUUAGAUA